rnacentral:lncRNA from 1 species
UCGGUUGUGCAGUGGAUAAGAAACAUCACCCAGUGGAAGCCAGCCGUGGGCGCAGUAAUAACGAGGUCGCUUGAGGCGAUGCCUGCUUGAGGCGAGAUGCGGACGGCGGCUCCUACGUCGCGCGGGGAUGGUGCCUCAUGGCACGCGCGGCGAAGUGGGAGCGAGGCGAGGCGCGGCGCGGGCGGAGGCUGGUCGGCUCAGAUGCGGUGUGGUAGCCUGAGUCCGGGGCGGCUUAUAAUUGAUUCCUUCUUUUUUUUGUUUUCUGGUAGUCUUCGUCAGAUGUUGAUUGAUCGAUAGAUCAUGGAUAUCAGCCCUUGUAUCCUGUUAAACUUCGCGGAUCGUACGACACGAUGAUAGCAUUGCACUGAUAACCCUAGCUUUCUAUCACGAUCUGAUUUUGUAUACAACGUCCUGACUGCCUCGUUGCAAUUUUUCUCUUGCAUUGUUCGACCAAAUUAAUGUUGAAACUAGAGUUGAUGUAGAUCUUCGAGCCGGUUCUUGCGGAUUCGACGGGUCAUAAGCUUCUCGAUUCCUAGGAGAGAUCCCUUCAAGAACACAAUUUUACCAUGCGCUCGUCCAUGGUGGGUGCCAAAUGUCGUGGUUUUGUCACGACAUAUGUCCUCGCGAGAGAAGUUAGGUGUGAGACCAUCGCAACUAUGUGGCGGCUUGAGAGGGGUUAGUCAGAAUCGAGAGACGCGAGUUUACCUAGGUUCGGCCCCUCCGAUGAAGGUAAAAGCCUACGUCAUCCUUGUGUUUCAUUGAUGAAGAUGAUGAUCUCGAUUACAAGGGUGCGGAAUCGCUACCUCUAAUCUCGAGGGUGUCUAAUAUGUCUAUCUCUAAUUGCCUGAACAUGUCAUGGCUCAAUCUAACUUGUCUUGUCCCUCUUGGGCCGCCUUACCACUCCUUAUAUAAGUGGAAGGGGUAGGUUUACAUGUAGAAUCCUACUAGGAGUAGGAAUAGGAUUAGUCUCUCUUGAAUCCUAAUCCGGGUCUUGUUUCCUUUGUGAAGAAGUAUUUCCUCUUCUUCGGCCUUCUCUUGUAAGCCGACCCUCUUGGCCUCUCUAUGAGUCGCCUUAUACCGGGAUGCACGUCGGACCUUGGGCCUUCAGUCUUGUCAUUCGCCUGACCCCCCUACCGAGUCACCAGUGAGUCGCCAAGCUCAGCCGGAUCACCAAUGAGUCAUCAGGGAGUCACCAAGUCCCAGCCAGUUCAUACACCAAGCCGGUUACACCGCAGGGUAUAUCCCCGGCAGAUAGAGUUGUAGUGCAAAUUGCAAAUCUGGUCCAGAAUAGAAAAUAAGAAGUAGUGCUCAAAAGUUUCAACAAACCAAUAUAUGUUUUUCAUAAAACUCACUUAUAUGAACCCUUUGACCACUACAAAUUUUUGUAGAAAUUUUGAAGACUUAUACCUAGGGGUUGUAGUACAAAACACCAACUGGGAUCAGAAUAAGAAGAUAACGAGCAUAAUUUUUCCAAAACUCUCAGCUAUAUUAUUGCACAAAAGUUAUCCAAAAACAUAUAAGGUUAUUAUCAAGUUUUGUGAAGCUUUUAAAAGAAGUUAUCAAAUGGUUGUAGUUCAAAUUAGGCCUUUAAAUAAUUUAGAGGUAAAUUUUUGAAUAAAUGAACCCUAAAGAAAUAUUUAUAAAAAAAUGUCUCAUUUGAUUUGGAAAUAAUAAGAAGAAUAUUUGAGGCAGCACUCAAAUUAAUAAUAUCUUUCAAGAACUCCUACUUAAGAGGAAAUAUGUUUAUAAAAUAAAACAAGGAAGGGGUCUGAGAACAGAAAAUCCAAGAUAAAUUUUUUAAAUCACCAAGGCCAACUUUAAAUAAAUAAAAUCAUGUCCAAAAUUUUGGAGUGUUACAAACUCUACCCCUUAAGAAAAAUCUCGUCCUCGAGAUUUUCUAGGGACGUUGCAAAAUAUAAACUCCUGCCGCACUGCAGUAUCUACACAAAAAUAAUUUCUCCACGAGGUUAUAGUGCAGUGACAACAAUAAUUGGUGCAACUAUAGUGUGGUACAGGGGCUGCAGACUGCUGCUACGUUUGGAGAAAACGAGGUGUUGCUACAAAUGGCUACGACAAAAUUUUCAAAAAAGGACAAUUUUCAAUUUACGAAUUUGUGAUUGUUGUACCCGAGUGCAUAGUGCUCUCUCUCGCGGACAGGUGGGCCCAGGGCACACGGUGAGUCUCUUCUUCUUCCUCUGGCUCUCUUCUCUCCUCUCUCUCUCGCGCGCGGUUUCCGCUAGUUUCUCCAUGCGUGGCGUCUAGCUCGUAGGCAUCUAGGGCCGUACCGUGGUAGUGCGAGGCGUGCUAGCUGCCGGCGCAGCGUGCACUCGCGUCGGGGGCGAGCGCUUUGUCGUCACUGCUUGCUGAUUUGUUUCGGAACACCGGCGAUCGAGCGACGAGCGGCACUGGUGUAGUGCGUCCAUCGCGCACCGUUCUCAGGCUAUAAAACGACCACGUCAUUCUCUUCUCUACCUCACACUCGGCCUCACUCUUCCUGCUUCUCCUCCUCUUCCUCUCUGUUUGCAGGAGCUCGAAGCGAGGCUCCAAUGGUGGACGAGCACCCGGGGUGGAGGAUAGUCCUACUGGCUAGAAUAAUGGCGGCGCUGAUCGGGUUCUCAAUGCUCCUAUGCGUGAUUGUAAGUGCAUCUAGUGCCCCUUAGUGAUUUUGGUGGUAUGAAGACUUAUAGGUUAAGUAUCUAAUGUGUUCAUGAGUGUACACAGGAUCUAUAAGUCGCUGAGGAGUUUGAAAUAUUCGAUGAAUAUCGACCCCUAAAAAUGUAUAUCUUCGGUUGAAGAAAUUGGUCUGAAGCUGAAGAUUUGAAUCUCGAAGAAUUUGCCAUGAAAUUGAUAUUCCUCAUGAAGAUAUUGAAAUUGAGGAAUUCGGUGUGUCCUGAAGAAAAUCAUUCUGAAGACUUUGAAGCAUGAACAUUUACUCUUUUUGUUUUGUUUUCUUCACACUUGAGUAAUAGGAACACCGUACUGUUAAAGGGGGUCGAGGUAACACAUUGGAAUGAAUUUCCUCAUGAUGCUCAACCCAAGCCUAAUCCUACCAAAAGCCUCAAGUGAGGAAUAUGAGUGACAUGAGGACUCUCACAGUUGAGGGUCCCGACCUUUUUGAUAGCCACGCCACAUCAUUGGUCCUAUCCACACCAACAGUCAUAUUAUUUAAGGGCAUUAGUGUCAAAUCAUGUCGGGAUGCUCCCAGGCUAUAAAUAGCCACCCCCACAAUCAUUAGCUGGUUGGCUGCUCCGUUAGAAACUGACACUUGUCGUAAGAGCAACCCAAAUUCCUCAGAGUCUUCGAGAGUAAUUCAUCAGUGAGGAAAUACCCUAAACACCAAACCACAAACCGAAAACCAAGUGAUUGAGCAUCACUGAAGAAGUUGUUCCUGUGUGAGACUGAAGCCUUUUACCUUUGAGGACUGUGCAUCCUCCAGAUGGUUAGGCGUCAUGGUCUAGAGCAAUCCAGCAGUCAAUUGUGGAUCGCCGGGUGACCAAGUUUGGGAGGGUUUGGAAGUCUGCCCUGAAGACUUACCACGAGUGUUGGGCGAGGAUUGUGUGUUCUUAGCCCAAGGAGAAUACGGUAGGGACUGUGUGUCCCGGGACUGUGUGUCUUUUGGUUUCAAUACCAAGCCGCUCCAAACCAGAUGUACAACUGUCACAGCAGUUGGAACUGGGUCAUCAACUACUGUCUUCGCUGUGAAACAGGUUCUAAUUCCUCAACUCUUUACAUUUCUCAGAUUAUGUGUUGAUGAUUUUCACUGUCACUGUUUGAAGAAUUUGUUGAAGACUUUCUGUGAAAUUCCUCAACCCCAAAUUCUUCACGCUAGUUAUUCCUCAUCUGUUUUCUGCGUGCCUGCUCACUGUGCAAUCUAUUUUCACAUUCCUCAUACUGAAAAACUGCUGUAGUGAAACUUUGCACUCCUGAUCCUUUACUCUUUCCGCUGUAAGUUAGUCAUCAGUGAGGAAUUUCCUCAAAAGGAAUUUCCUAAGUGAUGAAAUUCUAAAAAUCUCCUAUUCACCCCCCUCUAGUCGAUAUAACGCACUUUCAAUUGGUAUCAGAGCAAGGUACUCCCUUGUUCUGUGUGAUUUUCGUUUAACCACCUAGAGUUUUAGUUAUGUCGACUACAGGCAUGAUUAAUGUUACUACAGCAUGUCCUACUUUCAAAGGAAAGAACUUUCCCUUCUGGAAGACCAAGAUGCAGAUGCAUCUACAAGCUAUUGACAAUGAUCUCUCGUAUAUUGUGGAACAUGGUGUCCCCAUCAUCUCUGCUAGUAUCUCUUUUGCUGAUGUGAAGAAAUUCAAGCAACUUGAUUCUCAAGCGAAGAAUAUCAUCUGUGGCCAUCUGAGUCCAUGCUAGUUUGGAAGAGUGAGUGCUUUGGGCUCAGCGACACUUAUCUGGGAGAGACCGUGCAAAGUAAAUGAAGGAGUAUCAACCCAGCGUGAUUCUCGUGGUGAUGUUCUUUGCAAUCUCUUCAAUCUCUUCAAGAGGCUUGACAAUGAAAGCUGCCAAGAUACCUUUGGUCGCCUCACUGACAUAUCAAAUGAACUGCAAGCACUCGGAGCUCGAGACAUUACUGAUCACGAAGUUGUGAAGUAACUGCUAAGAUCUUUGGAUUCUUCAUUUGAUACUUUAGUCCUGAUGAUUCAAGAAAGACCAGACUACAAGAUGCUUGAUCCAGCUGAUAUACUCAAAAGGUUCAAUACUCAUGAAUUUCAGCAAGAAGAAAAGAAAGAUCUAUAUGGACCAAGCUAUUCUAGACCACGUGCACUGAAGGCUAGAGAAACUUCCUCAUCUGAAGAAGAAGACUCGGAUGAUAGCAUUGGUGAUCCUGAAUAAUUUGGACAGGAGCUUGCAAUGCUCGUGAGGAAAUUCCAUAGGUUUACACGACGUGGCCAGUUCGGUAAAUCUUCAAGAAGAGAUAUGAGGAAAUCAGAAUCUUCAUCUGAGGACUACAAGAAAAGAACCUGCCACAAAUGCAAGAAAUCAGGUCACUACAUUGCUGAUUGUCCCCAUUGGGGAAAGGAAUCAAAGAAGAAGAAAUACAAGGAUGACAGUUCUGAUGACUCGAAGAAGAAGAAGAAAUCUUCAAAAUCCUCAUCUUCAAAGCCCUCAUCGCACAAGAAGACUAGUUUCAGAAAGGCUCGGACACUUAUUGGCUAGGAAAUGGAUUCCGAGGCAGAAUCAGAUGAAUGUGAUGAAGAAGACGGUUCUGAUGAAGACUCAAAAUCCGGACAGGCCAGUCUUGCACUUGCAACCACUUUCGUCAGCAAGUCAAUCUUCAACCUUGAAGAAGAUGAUAACACCAUCCACACUGAUGACUAUGUUGAUGACUAUGCUGAUGACUUCGCUCCAACCUAUUGCUUCAUGGCAAAAGGUUCAAAGGUACCGAAUGAUGCUUCCUCCUCUGAUUCAAGUGACUGUGAACCUGAUGAUUAUAAAAAACCGAGUUACAGUAAACUUGCUAUCAUUGCCACUAAACAACAAACUGCCGUGGAAAAACUUCAGAAACUGCUAGAUAGAAGCGAUGAUCGGUUGAAUGAUGAAAUGAAUCUUACCCAAAUCCUCCCUGAUGACAUGAAAAGUCUUCACUCUAAAUUUGAUAAUCUUCAAGAUCGUCAUGUUACACUCCUCGCUGAUCAUGAGAAACUUUCCUAUGAAUUUCUUCAAAGGAAGCUUGAUCUAGAGAAGUUGAGGAUUUCUCAUGAUGAUCUUCGAAUGGAAAAUUAAUCAUUACUAGCUCAACAGAUCAGCGCCGCUCAAGCUGAAUUCAUUCCUCCAUGUCUUAAAUGCAUUGAACAUGAAACUGCUAAUUCUUCACCAGAAUCAUCAAAUGCUUCAAUUGCUACAAAUUCUUCAACUCCUCCUGUAGUGUCAAAUUCCUCACUUGAUGAUGGGGUCAUAGUCCUAGGGUAGGGUCAUAGGCCUGUCCUACAGUCCUACCCAAGGAUUACCCCACGCAAGGGACAGGACCUUAAGUAUGCCCGACUGUAUUAAGGUGCCCCCAUCAUCGAGUCGGUAACGGGCCCAGAAUCAUCCAGUCGGAGACUAAGACUCGGAGGACACCGGACCUACCAACUGGAUACACUCGGUGCGUCGUAACCUCCCUGGAGGGAAACUGCCGUACGUUUCCGGGUGCACUAACUAGCAUUUAUAGCAUACGUUACCUAUAACGCAUGCAUUAAAUCGCCACUACUCCACCCUUGAAUCAGAACCGUUGUGGAGGGCAGCGCACUCUAUAUAAGAUGCCCUCCCCCACUGGUAAAAGGGUUAGAAAAACAUUGUACUCCAUAUUACACUCGGUAACAAGCUCCAGGAGCACUGAGACGUAGGGCUAUUACCUCCACCGUAGAGGGGCCUGAACUCAUACAACCUCGCCGUAGCUAGGACUCUGCCCAUCUCAUUCGUACCCUACACAUCUACUGUCAGGCUUAUACCCACGACAGUUGGCGCCCACCAUGGGGCAGGCGUCUAAGAGACUUCCGGCGAGUUUGCGACUACUUCCUUUCGUCAUGUCGUCUGGUGGAGAUUCCAGCAUGGGUCGCUAGAUCCUCGUCGGCGUUCUCUCCUUCACCAUCGACGACUCGGCGUGGCUUCGGGAGGCGCCUCUCGACGUCGAGGUGCUUCCCCGUCGCGGGGCCACGCACUUCCGUGCCGGCGCUCGCGGCGUUCUUCUUCUCCAACAAUCGGCUACAUUGCCGGCUUGCACCUCCGUCAUGUCUCCUCGACCAGAUCGGUCGCAAUGUGGAGGCAUACAUGGAUGAUAUCGUAGUCAAGUCCCGCAAAGGUUCCGACCUGCUGACUGACUUGGCAGAAACAUUCGCCAACCUUCGUAGGUACGAUAUCAAGCUAAAUCCUGCCAAGUGUUCAUUCGGUGUUCCCAGCGGAAAGUUACUCGGUUUCUUCGUUUCCGAACGAGGGAUCGAUGUUAACCCCGAAAAGAUCGGGACCAUCGUCCGAAUGGAGAGGCCGGUCAGAAUACACGAUGUUCAACGACUCACAGGUUGCUUAGCAGCUUUGAGCAGGUUCAUCAGUCGACUCGGCGAAAAAGCACUUCCUCUGUACCGACUCAUGAAUAAAUCAGAUACCUUCGAGUGGACAGACGAAGCCCAAGUCGCGUUCGACGACCUCAAAGUCCUACUUUCCACCCAGCCGGUUCUUACUGCUCCGCUCAGUAAAGAGCCACUUCUUCUGUAUAUCGCGGCUACAAAUCAAGUCGUCAGUACUGUUCUUACAGUCGAGCGAGAAGAAGAAGGCAAAGCAUACAAAGUCCAGCGGCCAGUGUACUAUGUCUCCGAAGUCCUGACACCUUCCAAGCAGAGGUAUCCCCAUUAUCAAAAGCUUAUCUAUGGGAUCUAUAUGACUACAAAGAAGGUGGCUCAUUAUUUCCAAGACCACUCGGUAUCUGUCGUUUCUGAUGCUUCGUUGUCGGAAAUUCUCCACAAUCGGGAUGCAUCAGGCCGAGUGGGGAAGUGGGCAAUGGAGAUGCUGUACUGCGACAUCAAGUUCGAGGCCAAGAAAGCUAUUAAGUCUCAAGCCCUGGCUGACUUUAUAGCAGAAUGGGUAGAACAACAGCAACCGACUCACAUCUACUCGGAUCAUUGGACAAUGUUCUUCGAUGGGUCUAAGAUGUUGAAUGGAUCCGGCGCUGGUGUUGUGAUCGUAUCACCAAAGGGUGACAAGCUCAAGUAUGUGCUUCAGAUACACUUUGAUUCCUCUAACAAUGAGGCAGAGUAUGAAGCUCUUCUCUACGGAUUGCGCAUGGCCAUCUCACUCGGCGUCCGUCGCCUGAUGGUCUACGACGAUUCAGACUUGGUGGUCAACCAAGUGAUGAAAGAGUGGGACGUAAGGAACCCCACUAUGAAAACCUACUACAAUGCAGUCAGGAAGCUGGAGAAGAAGUUUGAAGGUCUAGAACUUCAUCAUGUUCCAAGACUGAAGAACCAAGCGGCGGACGAGUUGGCGAAGCUCGGAUCCACUCGGAGACCCGUCCCGAGUGAUGUCUGCCUCGAGCACCUCCAUCUUCCUUCAGUCAAAGAAGAUCCCUUCACGGAAGAGCCAGUACAACCCAAGAGCGCAACAGACCCGACUGAAGUCGAUGUGCCUGCUAUGGUUGAUCUGGUCACAGAGAUUCUGGUAAUCAUUCCCGAUUGGACUGUGCCGAUUAUGGCAUAUAUCCUAAGGCAAGAACUUCCAGAAGAUGAAGUCCAAGCCCGACAAAUAGUUCGCAGGUCGAAGGCGUUCACUGUCAUUGACGGUCAAUUGUAUAAGGAGAGUGUUUCAGGCGUUCUCCAACGUUGCAUUUCCCCAAAGGAAGGGCAGUUGAUCCUAGAGGAUAUCCACUCGGGAACCUGCGGCCAUCAUGCUUCUUCAAGAGCAAUCGUCGCCAAGGCGUUCAGGGCUGGAUUCUUCUGGCUGUAGGCUAACGAAAUGGCCAAAGCUAUGGUCGAUCGAUGCGAAGGCUGUCAGUUCUACUACAACAAGUCCCACAAGCCAACAUCUACACUAAAGACAAUCCCACUUGUGUGGCCGUUUGCAGUUUGGGGAUUAGACACAGUCGGACCAUUCAAGACAGGCCAAGGAGGCUACACACAUCUGUUGGUGGCAGUCGACAAGUUUACAAAGUGGAUAGAAGCCAAGCCCAUCAAGAAACUCGAUGCCUCCACAGCCGUGAAGUUUGUCAGAGACAUCAUCUCCAGAUUCGGAGUGCCUCACAGCAUAAUCACGGACAAUGGGACAAACUUCGACUCGGACAGAUUCAAAGGUUUCUGCGCGAGUCAAGGUAUCCGAGUGGAUUUCACUUCCGUAGCACAUCCGCAAUCCAAUGGACAAGCUGAGCGUGCAAAUGGACUUAUCCUUCAAGGUUUGAAGCCUCGACUCUUGCGAGAGAUAGGACAUGCUGCUGGUGCGUGGGUAACCGAGUUACCUUCAGUACUUUGGGGCCUCCGCACCACUCCGAACAGGUCAACAGGGCGAUCACCGUUCUUCCUCGUCUAUGGAGCAGAAGCGGUCCUUCCGAGUGACCUGCUUCACAAUGCCCCGCGAGUCGAACUCUACUCCGGAGCUGAAGCAGAACAAGCAAGGCAAGAUGGAGUCGAUCUUCUAGAGGAGGAGCACGAGAUGGCACUUACUCGCUCAACAAUUUAUCACCAAGAUCUGCGACGUUUUCAUGCACGACAUGUCAGAAGCCGCACGUUCCAGGCUGGCGAUUUGGUGCUCCGAGUGGAUCAGCAAAGACCACACAAGUUGGCUCCGGCCUGGGAAGGUCCUUUCAUCAUUUCAAAGGUGCUGAACAACGGGGCAUACAGACUCUACAACAUUCAGAAGGAGACCGAUGAACCCCGCGCGUGGAACGGAGACCUCCUCAAGCGUUUCUAUACGUGAUCACCGACUGAAGCAGUGUAACGAACAAGUUUUGGAGAAAUAAUAUAAAUCAGUUUCAAUUUCUUUUGCAGAUUCAGAGUUCUUCCGUGGUUGCAGACUACAGUCACACAAAAAAAACCUUAGCUGCGAUCCCGAUUCGCCUAAGUAACACCUUCCUUCGAGUGUGCACUUUACGUCGCACUGGGGGCUUAGCUGCGAUCCUGCAUCGCCUAAGUAUUAACUUCUCCAAGUGUGCACUUCACGUCGCACUCGGGGACUUAGCUGCGAUCCUGCAUCGCCUAAGUAUUAACUUCUCUGAGUGUGCACUUCACGUCGCACUCGGGGACUUAGCUGCGACCCCGAAUCGCCUAAGUAACACCUUCCUUCGAGUGUGCACUUUACGUCGCACUCGGGGGCUUAGCUGCAUCCUGCAUCGCCUAAGUAUUAACUAUCUCCGAGUGUGCACUUCACGUCGCACUCGGGGGCUUAGCUGCGAUCCUGCAUCGCCUAAGUAUUAACUUCCUCCGAGUGUGCACUUCACGUCGCACUCGGGGGCUUAGCUGCGAUCCUGCAUCGCCUAAGUAUUAACUUCCUCCGAGUGUGCACUUCACGUCGCACUCGGGGGCUUAGCUGCGAUCCUGCAUCGCCUAAGUAUUAACUUCCUCCGAGUGUGCACUUGACGUCACACUCGGGGGCUUAGCUGCGAUCCUGCAUCGCCUAUGUAUUAACUUCUCCGAGUGUGCACUUCACGUCGCACUCGGGGACUUAGCUGCGAUCCUGCAUCGCCUAAGUAUUAACUUCCUCCGAGUGUGCACUUUACGUCGCACUCGGGGGCUUAGCUGCGAUCCUGCAUCGCCUAAGUAUUAACUUCCUCCGAGUGUGCACUUCACGUCGCACUCGGGGGCUUAGCUGCGAUCCUGCAUCGCCUAAGUAUUAACUUCCUCCGAGUGUGCACUUUACGUCGCACUCGGGGGCUUAGCUGCGAUCCUGCAUCGCCUAAGUAUUAACUUCCUCCGAGUGUGCACUUGACGUCACACUCGGGGGCUUAGCUGCGAUCCUGCAUCGCCUAUGUAUUAACUUCUCCGAGUGUGCACUUCACGUCGCACUCGGGGACUUAGCUGCGAUCCUGCAUCGCCUAAGUAUUAACUUCUCCGACUGUGCACUUUACGUCGCACUCGGGGACUUAGCUGCGAUCCCGAAUCGCCUAAGUAACACCUUCCUUCGAGUGUGCACUUUACGUCGCACUCGGGGGCUUAGCUGCGAUCCUGCAUCGCCUAAGUAUUAACUUCCUCCGAGUGUGCACUUUACGUCGCACUCGGGGGCUUAGCUGCGAUCCUGCAUCGCCUAAGUAUUAACUUCCUCCGAGUGUGCACUUCACGUCGCACUCGGGGACUUAGCUGCGAUCCCGAGUCACCUAAGUAACACCUUCCUCCGAGUGUGCACUUCACGUCGCACUCGGGGACUUAGCUGCGAUCAUGCAUCGCCUAAGUAUUAACUAUCUCCGAGUGUGCACUUCACGUCGCACUCGGGGGCUUAGCUGCGAUCCUGCAUCGCCUAAGUAUUAACUUCCUCCGAGUGUGCACUUUACGUCGCACUCGGGGGCUUAGCUGCGAUCCUGCAUCGCCUAAGUAUUAACUUCCUCCGAGUGUGCACUUCACGUCGCACACGGAGACUUAGCUGCGAUCCUGAAUCGCCUAAGUACUAGUCGCUCCUCCGAGUGUGCUCUAUAUGUUACACUCGGGAACUUAGCACUGAUCAUGAAUCACCUAAGUCCUAAUAUUCUACGAGUACACAUUAAGUGUUCAACUCCAAACAGCAUUCAAGCAAAAGAAUAAGUGUUUUCAUUGUGACUACCAACAGUCUAGAAACGAUAACGGACUCGGUGCUGAUCAAGCUUACCCGCACCGAUCUAGAAGUAUGACGCCCAACAGAAGUGGCCAGAAUAUCUUACAGACAAACACUCGGCAUACCGAGGAUAGAGUUCGAUCGUGAGUCAGCUGGGCCCGCGUCAGGACUGGAGGGUUCCACAAAGGUAUCCAGGUCGAUUCCGUCAGCAAUGCGGGUCGCAGUUUCCAGGAAUGUCUCCAUGAAGUCUUCGAAUUGAAGCUUCUUCGUGUUGGCGACUUUCAAGGCUUUCAGCUUAUCUUCCCGCACUUCUUUGCAAUGGACUCGGACCAAGGACAGCACCACAUCAGCACCGCAACGCGCUGCCGAUUUCUUCCAAGAUUGCACUCGGGCCGGAAUCUCCCCAGUCGCCCCAACAGAGUCUCCAUCUUCUCCCGCGACUCGUCUUCCGGCCAAAGCUCCUUCUCAAUGCGGCCGAAGAUUUCUUUCAGUCGGUUGAUGAACGGACCCACUUUGCCUACGCAGAUAUGAGCCCGGAGUAGAUUCCGGUUGGCGUCCUCGCUGAGUGGCACAUUGCCCUUCAUGGAUCGUUCCACGGCCGCCGCUUCAGCUUCGGUGUCACCACAAAAAUCUGCAAUAAACGAGCAAAUAGAAAUUACAAACCGAGUGUUCGUCACAAGAUACAAUCACUCGACAAAUCAUCAGACUUACCAGCCAGACGACUCAUCAUCUGGACAGCCCAGUCGUUCACAUACUUCUCCUGAGCUGUCCAUCGUUUGUUCCGAGCAGCCAUUUGAUCGUACACUUCGGUCCUCUGUUUCUUUAGCCUCUCCACCUCCGCCACCAACGCCCUGUUUGCCUCCAGCGCCUCCUCCAAGGAUUUCUCUCGAACUUCCAGCGCGUUCUUCAUGCCAGCCAUGGCGAGCGUUGCGGCUUCUAGUUCACCAGCAUAUUGGUUCUUCUCAGCCCUCAAGGCUUCAUAAGCGGUCCCCAUAUCACAAGUUUUCUACAACACAAAACAAAGGGUUAUCAGCAACUUUCUCAAUACACACUACGUUCUUCAGACCCCUGCCGACGCAAGCAGUCGACAGCGGUCUCGGGGACUACACCCAGUGGGUUCACUAAGAGUGACCCCACUGGCAUGCACCUCAAGCAGGUCUGCCCUAUUGAGGUGCACCUUUUCACCUACGCCUCCGAGGCUAAAGCUACUCCACCUGUGUGCAGUUUACUCUAGGGAACUCUUACCGCAAGAGUGCUCCGAUUGCAGUAAGUACUUGCACUCAGAAAUCUUGUCUACGGACACGACAAAAAUAAAGACCAAAUGUAUAAAGACAACUGUCGGUGCAAGCACUCGACAGAAGUCUCGGGGACUACACCCACUGGGUUCACUCGGAGUGAACCCAUUGCAAACAACAGACUACGACAACACCCAGUGGGUUACAAAAUAAAAGUAAGUACUUACUAGACUACUUACUCGGAUGUCGUCGCGCAGCUCCAAGCUCUGCUGGUACAAAGCCGCAACGGAGUCAUAAGCCCUCUUAGCCUCCCCGGUCACCAGCUCCGCUUGGACCAUGGCUCCCUUGGCCGCUCCCACCUGCUCCUCUGGGAUACACCGAAUGCUGAAUUCAACAUUCGACGAACCGGGAAUCGUGGGAAGAUCCUGGGGCAUCCCAAGAUUCGCCCCAGUCGGUUCGUCGCCCACCGGCACUGGUUCGGUCGGUGGAGGCACUUCAGUCGGCGGAGCGUCGGUGGCAGGGGCAGCAGCAGGAGGAGCAGCCUCAACGACAGGCUCCACGACAGGCUCCGCGGCCGGGUCGGCUCUCCCUUGCCCGUCUUCGUCCGGGUGAAUCGCCCCUGACAAGCCGAAUGGCACGACGAUUCAUAAAAAGAAAAGGAUAGUACAGUCUAUAGGAAUAAAAUACCCGGCUCUCUUACAACAUACCCGCUGGGACGAGACGACGUUGUCUGUGUCCAUGGGGUCAUCCCCUUGGCGGACCGGAGAGGUUGUAGAAGUGGCGACCCUGUCAAGUGAAGCCCAUUCGACUUGUAAAGCGGGAGUUCACUCGGGUAACAUAAAAAUCCGAGAGUUGGAUUCACUUACGUGGAUGUGACGGGGAUGGCAACCCUCAUGCGCGGCAGAGCCCUCCGAGGUUUGGGCCCAUUCGGUUUGGGCACCCUGGAAGAUUGGCCUGCAAGCUCAGCGGGGGCGUCCCUGGACCUCUUCAUGCCUCGAGCACUCGGCACCGCCGGAGCGGCAGGUGGAGCACUCGACAACGCGGGGGAGCCGAAGGGACGAUAGGCUCAUGUUGACGCUUACUCCGCUGUUCUGGCGGUGGGGGCGGUGAGUCGCGCUCUUCGUCUUCUUCCUCCUCCUCGCUGUCCUCCUCCUCCGACUCCCUGCUGUCGGAGACAUAUUCAGCGCUCUCCACGCUCCCCUCCUGGCUACCUUCUUCCUCCUCCUCCUCCGGAUCCCCGUUCGAGACAGAGGAGGACCAGUUGGUCCAUUCCUACAUAAGAUUCAGUCGGAAACAUUAAGCAUCACACGAGGAUAUAAAUGAACGACUGAAAUCGAAACAGUUCGAUAUAUUCGGCUAAUGCCACUCACCUGAUUCGGUGGCGGGUUGUCCGCGCUGUAAGGCGCCACUCGGCGAGCUCCUUUAGGGUUCUCGCAAGGUCCCGUGAUUUGGAGCACUAUCGAGGUCACCUUCUACUCGAGUAUGCCCACCGCGAUAGUCCGAGUGGAAUCCUCGGGCCCUGUGUAGAGCCACAUAGCGUGGUGGCGAGCUUGUAGAGGCUGGAUCCGCCGACCGAUGAAGACUUCCAGCAGGUCAAUAUCGGAGACCCCCCUUCUGACAACAUCCACGGGUGCCUCGACCAAAGGCUGGAUGUCGUUCUUCUCAGUUUUCGAGAGGGCGAGUUGCUUGGGCGGAGCAGGACGGUCUAGACGAAAUGGAGGCAGCCCAGUCGAGCGUUCAGGCAGGCUAUAUCCUGGCAGUAGAACCACGUCGACUGCCAGUUCCUAACCGACACACUCAACUGCAGAGCAGGGUAGCUGCUCCGACUCUUCUUUUGGAACCCUAAACCCCCGCAGAGCUGGAGGAGAUGCGUCUUGUCAUCCGACUGACUAAGGCGUUUUAUGGUUUGGGAGCGGGCGGAGAAGAUGUAUUUGAAUAAACCCCAAUGGGGAGGACAACCAAUAAAGCAUUCGCACAAGACAAUGAAUGCUGAAAGGUGGACGAUGGCAUUCGGAGGGAAAUGAUGGAGUUGUGCACCAAAAUGAUUCAUGAUACCCUUGAAGAAAGGGUGGGGGGCAGAGAGAAACCUCCUUUCCAGCACAUUGGGAUCCUAAGCUUNNNNNNNNNNNNNNNNNNNNNNNNNNNNNNNNNNNNNNNNNNNNNNNNNNNNNNNNNNNNNNNNNNNNNNNNNNNNNNNNNNNNNNNNNNNNNNNNNNNNACUUACUGCACUAGCCAGGCGGUACUACCGCUGCUAGGAGAGGUACUACCGCACGGCAGCUCACCAACCACGGUAGUAACAAAAUACUACUGUGCCUACUACCGCAGAGGCAAAAGGAUGCGCAAAAAGUUCGACGGAGCGGUAGUAAAAAAACUACUACCUCCCAGAGAGCGGUACUACCGCCCACAAAGCGGUAGUAAAAAAACUACUACCGCCCCAAGGGCGGUACUAUCGCUCGCCCUUUUGCACAUACAUGGAAAACAUGGUAGGAGGUCCAUUUGAAGCAAGGGAAAGAUGGUGCAAUAGAAAUAUGUACGUGUUGAUUCCACCCAAACCUUUCUGAAGUAGACCCCCUCUUAAUAGUACGGCUUUCCUACGACUCAAAUCCACCAAAGAGAAACGUAGAAAGCAACCUUUUUUGAAAUGUCUUGUGCCUAGUCAUGAAUUAUCUGAAAUGCUCAAUACACACGAUUUGCCCGCACAUGCAUUGUCAUCAAUCACUAAAACUACUUAGGGAGAAAUAUGCCCUAACAAUCUCCCCCUUUUUGGUGGAUUGAUGACAAUACAGGAUUUGCACUAAAGGAUAUAAAAAUAUCAUAUGCAAACCCAAAAUCUAGAAACUAGAGAGAGGCUCCCCCUGGAUGUGUGCGUAUUUUAGAAAAAAAGAUAUGGACUUCCUAGCAAAAAACCAAAGAAAAGCACUCCCCCUAGAAUUUAUGGACGAUGCAAUCCUUGCAACAAACUGAAUAAACUCUAAGCAUGGAAGCAAGGCAUAGCAUAUGAGCAUGAAGAUAAGGGCACAUAAUAAUUAGAAUCACAAGCUACUAAUAAAACUGGAUAAUAAUGAGACAAUAAAGAUAGAGGAGAGAUAGCAUAUGUCUCAUACCAUAUGAUAAAGUACAACGUCUCCUGGUCUCACACACAAAGCAAAGAGAACCAAAGUAGCAACAAAAGUUCAACAGAAAGGCAACAUAGAAAAUGAGGAAACUCGCAAAUCCUACACUCUCUCCCACUUUGGCCUCGGGACACCAAAAACGUAGAGAGGACACCUACGACGCAGGUGGUAGCUCGAACUUGAGAGGACUCAGCCAUCGGACUCCUCAACAUACUCCUCAUCAGUCUCUUCUUCUGUCUCCUCGGCACACUCCUUGUCAAACUCAGCCCACUGAAGAUUGUUCUUUUUCACCCAAGCAGCCUCACGAGGGAUGUCUUUCUCAGAACCACUAGAGAUGUGCACGUCGAGCUUCCUCAUAAUCAGCUUGCCGCGCUGACGGUUCUCCUUUUGAGCAACAUGAGUCAUGUACUGCCCCUUCGCCUGCAUGCAGAACAAGGUCUUCAUCCGGUCCGUGACCUUAUUGGCCCAAGAUGGCUCGAUAGAGGAAGGCACAUGUGACUCUUGAGCGGCCCCAUCCUCAGUCGCAGCCUCAUCCUCACCAGAAUCCACAGUGGCAGCAACAUGUGUAGUGGUGGUGUUGGCCCAUUUGUUCUUCUGUCGCAGCUUAAUAGGCUCAUGGCGAAUCCACCCACGAGCAUGUAACUCAAAAGCUGGGAUGGCAUGUGCCCACUUCUUCUUGCUCGGGUAAAACAGAUAAGGGCGGUAGAUUGGGGCCUUACGAUGGAAGACUGUCGAGUGAAACUCGCUCCACAUGACGUGAGAUACAUCAACUGGUCCACAAGAACGAGUCCGCCCUUUCUGACACAUCAUAAGCAUAUCCGCCAGGUAUGAAUGCACCUGGUCCUUGUUGCCAACGUGCGGAAAUAGAGUAUUGCGAAAGAUACGGUGCAUGAUAUCAAGGAAUGGGUUCAUCACAUGGGAGACCUCACCAGAUGGGGAUUCCUUCGUAAUAAAGAAUGGCAGCAACUUCUCCUUAGCUGUAGCAGAAGGCUUAGAGUGUGGGCGCAAACCAACAGAGUGCUCCAGCCCCUCAUCAUGGACGUUCAACAAAUCCAUAAACUCCUUCCAUGUGGCACACAUCCUCUCCCAAUUGGUGAUCAAGGACAUAGUGCGCUCGUCAUCAGAGUGAAAGUGGACAGUGACAAAGAACUGCGCCACUAUCUCAUGAUCAAAAUCAUAAUGAAAUGUGAUGAGCUCCUCAAUCUGAAGCUGUUCCAUCAUGGACAGAGCUUCACCAAAGUAUGCAGGGUCCUUCUUCAUAUGGUCCAUGUCAAUCCACUGAACCGGUACAUAUGUUUUUUUCAUCUUGAUUAUAUCUUCAUAAAUAAGAGACUGCUGCUUAGACCAGAACAUUUCACCUCCAGGGAACUGAACCCUAGCGUUGUCAUAGGGGUUGACCUUUAACGAAACUGAAACUCUACAAGUGGCAUAGCAUCCCAAUCGACAAUGUUUGUCUUGUUCUGGUGCGCGGGCCGCUUGAAAUUGCGCUUUGGAGCCUGUGAUCCCUCGGGUGCAUCUGAAGAACGAGGUCGCUUGGAACUGACAUCCCGGGGUGGGUUAGAGCGCCUGGAGUUACCACCUAUGGCACGCAACAUGAACACAAGAAAAUGACAAAGAAAAGGUCAAGGCAAAGAUCAAGGCAAAUCAGAAAAACCCACAUAAAGGAGAACUGAAAGGACAUAAUAUGUGAACUCAAGGAACAGCGGUAGUACCGUUAUUGAAGUGGUAGUAAAAUUUCACUACCUCUCUGAUACGGUAGUACUGCUGCUCAAGCGGUUGUAAACAAUUAGUACCGCUCUAACAACGGUAGUACCGCUCCAAAGCGGGCGAUGAAGUGCCAGAUCUGACAAGGGAAAUUGCAGAUCCGGUACUACCGGAGACGCGAACCCACAUGUUGCAACCUACACAUAUAAAGAUUCUACCACACAAGUACUCCCCAACCCUCCUACCAUGAAGAGAUGGUGCCAUGAAACGAUCAACGAACAAACAUGCCCCUCAACCAAGAUUCAACAAAAACGAGGAAAAGAGGAGGGAAUGAGGGGAAAUACCGAGGUCCAUGGCAAGAGGGAGAGGAGGGAGAUGAUCCCAUCAAACGGAAUCGGAGGAGAGUAGCCGGGGAAGGAGAUCCGGCGAGUCCCUCCGACAGUGUUUCUUGAGAAGAGAGAGAGAAAAAAGGGAGGGCUACGCGAUGAAUGGUUAUGGGAGAGAAAGAACUGCCCCGUGCUCUAAAAUAACCCCGUGUGGCCCUGGCGGUGCGGUAGUACCGCAGUCAUUGCGGUAGUACCACUUGGAGAGCGGUAGUAAAAUUUUACUUCCGCUAGCUGAGCGGUAGUAUCGCUCGGCCAGCGGUAGUAAAAGUUUACUGCCGUUUCUGGAGCGGUAGUACAGUGCCCCUUGUGACACAUUGAAUAUUUGCCCUCUUUUUAAGAAAACACUUUGAACCUUGCCAGAGGAAGAGAAAAAGCACAGGAAAACCCAAGGGAAGAUAAAAAUAGACACACACGCACUUGAACACAGAACCGAAUCUUCUGACGAAGAGAGGGCGAUGGCCGGAGCCACCAAUGUUUGAGACAAAUGGUAUGACACCGUGAAGAAUUAUCCUUGGUUUCAUGACCACAGCUCGUCUUUGAAGCAGAAGUGCCAUCAACGAUGGCUAAUGUGAAAGACGUGAUCAAUUUAUGCAUAAUGGGGGGAGGGAAGGUUCAUUGAGACAACAACACUCCCCGUGUGUGUAACACACCAAAACUUUGGGCAUGAUAUUGUUUAUUUAAAAUUGGCCUUGGUGAUUUAAAAAAAUUAUCUUGGAUUUUCUGCUGUUCUCACACCCCUUCCUUGUUUUAUUUUAUAAAUAGAUUUCCUCUUAAGUAGGAGUUCCUGAAAGAUAUUAUUGAUUUGAGUGAUGCCUCAAAUAUUCUUCUUAUUAUUUCCAAAUCAAAUGAGGCAUUUUUUAUAAAUAUUUCUUUAGGGUUCAUUUAUUCAAAAAUUUACCUCUAAAUUAUUUAAAGGCCUAAAUUGAACUACAACCAUCUGAUAACUUCUUUUAAAAGCUUCACAAAAACUUGAUAAUAACCUUAUAUGUUUUUGGAUAACUUUUAUGCAAUAAUAUAGAUGAGUGUUUUGGAAAAAUUAUGCUCAUUAUCUUCUUUUCUAUUCUGGUCCAAGUUGGUGUUUUGUACUACAACCCCUAGGUAUAAGUCUUCAAAAAUUCUACAAAAAUUUGUAGUGGUCAAGGGGUUCAUAUAAAUGAGUUAUAUGCAAAACAUAUAUUGGUCUUCUCAAAGUUUUGAGCACCACUUCUUAUUUUCUAUUCUGGACCAGAUUUGCAAUUUGCAUUGCAACCCUAUCAUUUCCUUUUUCAAUACCUUUGAAUAUUUUUGUGCUUGUAGUAGACCCUGCAAAACCCUUAAUUACUAGAUUCCAGCCCCAUAUAAUUUGUUCAAGACCCUGUUGUAUCAUCAUUUUGUUUCUGUCCAGAAAUGGACAUUUGCUAAUGUUGCAUUAAGAAGUUUUUGUGUUUCCAAAUCUAGCUAUGCUUUCCUUGUUUGCAUCCAAGGAGACCCCUAUCUGGAAGUUUUGGUGGCUAGAAAACAUCUCCAGAUGCCCAUGGCAUUUUGUCAAACACCUCGUGUCCCUGACCAGAUUUGACAAGCCUUUUGGUUUGUAUAGUGAAGUUAACCCAAGACCAAACUAGCAUGUCCACUAAACCUUUGACACCACCAUCAAUGGAUCUGGAGAACUUGGGUUAAAACCCAAGGCCCUGGCAUGAUCUGGCAUUGUGUCGAGCACAUGUCGGACAUGCCAAGAGCACGUUCCAGAGUGCACGUUUUGCAAGCCAACGCAACAGAGCCGCCGGAUCCCACCUAGCCUCUACCACGUGACCCUAGCUCGCUCGAAGAGGCACCCCCGACACCUCCCUCUCGCCAGAUUCGCACGACAGCCUCAAGGAGCACCGCAGCCGUGCCGACCGUCGAAGACAGCGGCGACUACUGCUACAUUGGCAGCACAGCGCGGUCCUCUACCAUGGCAGCACCGCCAAAGCCACCCCAGCAUGCUAGAUGGCCUCUCGAGACUGCUUCCUCAUUCGUACGCGAGAGCCCCAGUUCAAUGCUGCCAUCGCCAUGUCACCCUAGCCACUAUCGCCGGACUUAUCCGAGACAUCCACGGCACCGACAAUUCGGGCUAUUUAAGGAGCCCCCGGAGCCGCAUAUUAACCAGCAAGCAUCCUAGGAGCCGUAGCUAGGUCUCCCUCCCCCCAAUUUAGACCGAAGCCCUCAUCUUCUCCAACUCCGGUGGUUUCAGCCGCCGUUGUGCUCCGAUCGAUUCGGCUAAGAUGAGGCCCUCUAGCCACCCCUGAGCCCACCCUUGAUCCAUCCUCUACCUCCUGGAGCUGCCCCAACUCUGAGAGCACACCUAGAGCUCCCCCUAGCUCACUCCUCGUCCGACCCGAUGCUCCCUCCGCCGUGGAGGAAGGCAUGCUCGCCCUCGAGCUCCACCGCGUCCCCAAGUCCCAAAAGUGGGUUCAGAUCGUUCUUCAGAUCAUAUGCAUAGCCGGAGCAUCCCGUGAGAUGCACCGUGUCGCCGGAAUUGCCACCGGAGCGAGCACCCUGCUCACUAUCAGCGUGCAUGGGAGGAGGAAGGAGGACCCGACAGAUGGGUCCCAUCUGUCGGUGAGUGGCCUGGUUCCCUCAGCUGCACACCCGCAUGAGUGCGCUUCCCCCUCAGGAAGUCGUAGUCAGCCUGGUACGUCUCCCCUUUGAGAAAGCGUAUUUUCAGCCGAAACGUUUUCUUUUUGUUUUUUUAAAAGUACAUUCUUGACCCAACUUUGACUCGCUCUAACUUUUAAAAUAAUAAUCCAAUUGCGUUGAUUCUUUUUCUCACCUCUUUAAAAUUCUGUCUAGUUUAUUUUAGUAUUUAUUUAAAAAAAUUCUAAGAAAAAUUUAUUUGCUAUUUUUAUAUUGUGUGUUAAUUUGAAUAUUAUCAAAAAUAGGUCAUGGAGAGAGGAGCAAAAACUUGCAAAAGUUUGAGAGUGAACCCUACCUCCCUACCCUUGGAAGGCAAACAUUAUGAACCUACAUCUAUCUUGGUUUUGUGUGGGUUGCUUGAUUAGAAUAACUUUAUGGUUAUGCUAAACACGUGGUGUUAUUUUAUGUGACAAUCAUGCUUGUGGUUUCAUGAUUUGAAAGUAAAUUAUUACAUUUGAGAUGCAUGGGACUGCAGUCACACCUUCCUACCACACAUGUCUACCGGAUGGGAUUCGGUAAGAGUCGGUGUCUUGUAGAGACACGGUCGUGGGACUGACAUCUCGUGGGACGAGAGUGGUCAGCAAGGCAUGUUAGGAUACGACAGGUAGUGACUCUGUCUGCAUUUUGAUGGUGCUAAUCAUGCAGGUAAUAUCUAAACCUCCCAAGUUGACCGUAGAUCGAGUCUUGUUAGUAUGUCACCUUAACCUAUCGUGCUGCCACAUGUCUUCCUGAAAAGGAAUAUGGUUUAGUAGGAGGUAAACCUAUUACCAGGUACACACCAAGUAGAGAGGCUGGGAUGAAGGUACCUGGGGCACUGGACUAAAUCCAGUCAUCCGGUCAGGGGGCAUGGGUGUUCCCAGUUUGGGGCCGAGAGGGGAAGAGCUCUCCCCUUGUAGGGCACAGUACAAAUUUUAUCCCAUGCUAGUCAAGGUUGGAGCCUCCCCACCUUAUGGUUCUUCUCCGGCAGCGUAGUCCGAGUGAUAUCGAUCUUCACGGGAGAAGAAUGGGUGUGUAAUGUUUCUGAGUGUUUACUUCUGAGAUACCAUACGCGGGAUUAGUCCGAGUGACUAUUGAAACUCGUGGGCUGUGGGUAAAGAGUACACCCUCUGCAGAGUCAAAACUAUUUGAUUAGCCAUGUCCACUGUCAAGGACGACUCAUUGACUAGUCAAGUGUCAGUCUUUGGAGAUAGUUAAAGAAGUAUGAGACUAAACAGGAAAUAUGGUGGAUGAUUAUAAACAUUAUUAUCUGUGGACUAACACCUAUGAUUAUGAUUGUUGAAUAUCCGUGGGACGGUUCUACCUCCUGGAUAUUCUUUAUUAUUUCAUAUAAGCCCUUUAUGUGGUCUCGCUGAGACGCCCGACUAUGGCAUAUUUAUUAUUCCAUAUUAGCCAUUUAUGUGGUGUCGCUGAGACGCCCGACUGCGGCAUGUUUAUUAUUUGAUAUAAGCCCUUUAUGUGGUGUCGCUGAGAUGCCGGACUGUGGCAUGUCUAUUAUUUCAUAUAAGCCAUUUAUGUGGUGUCCCUCAUACGCCCGACUGUGGCAUGCUCGUUAUUAUUUUAUUCAAGCCAUGUAUGUGGUGUCGCUCAAACGCCCGAUGGAGGCAUAUUUUAUAUUACAUCUGUUACUUGUACUCUCAUUAAUUGCUUAUUAAGUGCUAAGUAUUAUUAUAUUUUCAUUACUAGUACUUGAGAAGUACUUCUGAGUUCACAUUAUUAUAAGUGUAUAACUAAUCCUGCCAAUUUAUGUUUGUUUCAUGAUGUUUGCGAGUACAUUCAAAGUACUCACUGGCUUGUCCCUGGCUAUUGUCUUGGCCAGAUUGUGUGCUUGGAGAGGAGGAACUUGACGAUAAACCCGGAACCUAGGCACCGAAGACAGAAAUUAUCCAGGUCAGCUGUUCCUUUGGGAAAUGGAGUCCCAUAGACGUUGGUGAUCCCCGAACUUCUUCCGCCAUCAACCAUUAGAAACCUUUUGAUGUACUCUAUGGACCACCUUGGUCUUGUACUUCAAGUUUGUAUGUUUGCUUGGACAAAUGUAUCAAGGAUUCGUGCACCAGCUAACAGUAUUCCUGGGGUUGGAAUGCACAAGGGCCAUUUGAAGGGAAAUUAAAAAUCCCUGAAAAUCCGGUCCCUAGAACCUUCGUAUUAGAGCCAGGUUGACCAUUGGCUAAUCCUAUCUUAGUCGGGUCAAUAAACCUAGGAAACCACCCAGCCAAGCUUGCCCAAACACUACUGGAAUCAAAGAAUUUUCCAUAUGCUGCUUCUUUGUCGUCUGCUGGCUGAUGGCAAAGACACUCUUUGCCAUCAGCUACCCAAAACCUGACGGCAAAGAGCAGGCUGAUGGCAAACAUCACCUUUGCCAUCUGCUGCUUCUUUGCCGUCUGCCAGCUGACGGCAAAGCACAUGCAGGCAGACGGCAAAGAACCCACCCCACACCGCCCUCUAACCCAUAACGGUCCACCUCUUUGCCGUCAGCCUGUUACCACUUUGUCGUCGGGGGCAGACGGCAAAGAGGCAACUAGACCUAACGUCGUCAACCCCCACCCCACCCCCUCUCUCUCCCUCGUAACAGCUCACCAUAGCCCCCGACUCUCUCCCUGCACCGCCACCAGAGCUCGUCCUCCCUCCUCCCUCCUCCCCGGGACCCGCCGCCGGAGCUCGCCCCUCCUCCUCCCUGCGACCCCCUCCUCCACCAUCGUGCCCCUGCUCCACCACCGCCCCCUCCUCUCCGUUCCCCUGCUCCAGCACCGCCCCUCUUCCCUGCGACCCCCUGCUCCACCACCACCCCCUCCUCUCCGUGCCCCUGGUCCACCUUGCCGCCGACAUUUCCCCCGAGCUCCACCUCGUCGCUGACGUCUCCCCUAGCCCCUUGUAAGUCCUCCGGCCCUCCUUUCCUCUCUUUGCCUCUUUGCUAAGGGUAAUUUAGUUAAGUUAAGUUACUUAGGUUAAUUUAGUUAGGUUAUUUUUAUUAGGUUCUUGUUGCUAUUAGGUUCUUACUUUAAGUUGUUUAGGUUAAUUUAGUUAAGUUACUUAGGUUAAUUUUUAUUAGGUUCUUAGGUUAAUUUUUAUUAGGUUGCAAUUUUUUCU